rnacentral:rRNA from 1 species
AGCAGCCGCGGUAAUUCCAGCUCCAAUAGCGUAUAUUAAAGUUGUUGCAGUUAAAAAGCUCGUAGUUGAAUUUCAGGAUCAGCGCGUCGGUCGUGCCUCCGGUAUGCACUGGCGCCGCUGGUUUCUCCCUUCUGAGGAACCGUGAUGUCAUUAAUUUGGUGUGGCGGGGAAUCAGGACUGUUACUUUGAAAAAAUUAGAGUGUUUAAAGCAGGCUCGCGCUUGAAUACAUUAGCAUGGAAUAAUGAAAUAGGACGUUCGAUCCUAUUUUGUUGGUUUCUAGGAUUGACGUAAUGAUUAAUAGGGAUAGUUGGGGGCAUUAGUAUUCAAUUGUCAGAGGUGAAAUUCUUGGAUUUAU